rnacentral:piRNA from 1 species
UCCACACUGGAUGGUGACUUAUCCAUGGAC